GUUUGCAGGAAGAGCUAGAAAACUAAUGAUCACAUCUCCGAUUCCAACAACCGCAACCAUUGCUAAGAAUGAGAAAAACAUCAACAGAGAAAAAUCAGCUACAAAAGUGAAUUCAUCAUCCAUGGCUGAGCAACGGCUGGCGGCAGACGAGUCAGAAUGUCAGUUUCAACGUUGGAAAAAAUUGAGCCAAUUCAUUUCACUAACUUAAAAACGCCAUUCUCAAUGGCGUUUUUCGUCGAACACGCCAACCCCAAGUGUUUGAUGAAAUGCCUCAAAGAGGAUUUUGUCCUUGUCUUUUACAUAGCACACCAAGUGUUUGAUGGAAUGUUUAAGUGAGCUCCAGCCAGAUUUUACAUCCUAAACUUCGAUGAAAACACGAUUUGAUGAGUCAUAAUUUACAUAAAAACGUGUAAUCUAAGGGGAAAAAUAUAGAAAAUAUGCUUCACAUCACGGCUA